rnacentral:misc_RNA from 1 species
AAAUCACCCACAUACACCUCAAAGCAAGAGCUGUGUGGAUUUUGGGUGAAAUUUAUGUUUCUUGGUAGAUGAAUUGCUGAAACAGAGAACUUUGCUUUGGUUCAAUGUUUCUCUCACUUAGUUUGCAGCAGGAGCAAUACUGCCAUUGGAAUUUGAGGGCAGCUGAAAUUCAAGAUCACCUUUCUCUUCCUUCCGUGCUUCUAUCUCUUCAAAAGCCUUCAAUUUCAUCUCCUUGUCUUUCCCCCACAGAACAGCAUAAAGGCCAGCAACAAUCAUGGCAGAUCCUACAGCAGUUCCAACGUAUAAUUUCUCA